CUUUGGAUAUUCUCGACAUCUUGAUCAAUCCCAAUAAUGAUUGGAUGACUACAAUCGUAAGCUGUGGGAGCUUGACCAAUGACUCAAUCAACUCCAGCAUAAUAAUUAGGAUUCUAUCGGCAUUCUGGACAUCAAUACUCAUCCUCCAUUUUUUUGAUAAAUUUUAGACGAGCCGACUCCUACUCAGUUCAAGAUGCCACAAAUCGAGCCGUAUGACGUCGAUGGCUCUACCGACCCACUCGGCCACCUAAAGAGCUAUAAGGCUCUCAUGUUACUCCAGGAGGCAUCUGAUGCCUUCCUUUGUGUUGUCUUCUCAGUUACUCU
rnacentral:lncRNA from 1 species